UGCAUCGGCCGGGAAUCGAACCCGGGCCGCCCGUGUGGCAGGCGAGCAUUCUAACACUGAACCACCGAUGG
rnacentral:tRNA from 1 species